rnacentral:rRNA from 1 species
CAUGGCUCAGGAUGAACCCUUUCUACAGGCUUAACACAUGCAAGUCGAGGGGCAGCAUGGUCUUAGCUUGCUAAGGCCGAUGGCGACCGGCGCACGGGUGAGUAACACGUAUCCAACCUGCCGUCUACUCUUGGACAGCCUUCUGAAAGGAAGAUUAAUACAAGAUGGCAUCAUGAGUCCGCAUGUUCACAUGAUUAAAGGUAUUCCGGUAGACGAUGGGGAUGCGUUCCAUUAGAUAGUAGGCGGGGUAACGGCCCACCUAGUCUUCGAUGGAUAGGGGUUCUGAGAGGAAGGUCCCCCACAUUGGAACUGAGACACGGUCCAAACUCCUACGGGAGGCAGCAGUGAGGAAUAUUGGUCAAUGGGCGAGAGCCUGAACCAGCCAAGUAGCGUGAAGGAUGACUGCCCUAUGGGUUGUAAACUUCUUUUAUAAAGGAAUAAAGUCGGGUAUGGAUACCCGUUUGCAUGUACUUUAUGAAUAAGGAUCGGCUAACUCCGUGCCAGCAGCCGCGGUAAUACGGAGGAUCCGAGCGUUAUCCGGAUUUAUUGGGUUUAAAGGGAGCGUAGAUGGAUGUUUAAGUCAGUUGUGAAAGUUUGCGGCUCAACCGUAAAAUUGCAGUUGAUACUGGAUAUCUUGAGUGCAGUUGAGGCAGGCGGAAUUCGUGGUGUAGCGGUGAAAUGCUUAGAUAUCACGAAGAACUCCGAUUGCGAAGGCAGCCUGCUAAGCUGCAACUGACAUUGAGGCUCGAAAGUGUGGGUAUCAAACAGGAUUAGAUACCCUGGUAGUCCACACGGUAAACGAUGAAUACUCGCUGUUUGCGAUAUACUGCAAGCGGCCAAGCGAAAGCGUUAAGUAUUCCACCUGGGGAGUACGCCGGCAACGGUGAAACUCAAAGGAAUUGACGGGGGCCCGCACAAGCGGAGGAACAUGUGGUUUAAUUCGAUGAUACGCGAGGAACCUUACCCGGGCUUAAAUUGCAGAUGAAUUACGGUGAAAGCCGUAAGCCGCAAGGCAUCUGUGAAGGUGCUGCAUGGUUGUCGUCAGCUCGUGCCGUGAGGUGUCGGCUUAAGUGCCAUAACGAGCGCAACCCUUGUUGUCAGUUACUAACAGGUUCCGCUGAGGACUCUGACAAGACUGCCAUCGUAAGAUGUGAGGAAGGUGGGGAUGACGUCAAAUCAGCACGGCCCUUACGUCCGGGGCUACACACGUGUUACAAUGGGGGGUACAGAGGGCCGCUACCACGCGAGUGGAUGCCAAUCCCCAAAACCUCUCUCAGUUCGGACUGGAGUCUGCAACCCGACUCCACGAAGCUGGAUUCGCUAGUAAUCGCGCAUCAGCCACGGCGCGGUGAAUACGUUCCCGGGCCUUGUACACACCGCCCGUCAAGCCAUGGGAGCCGGGGGUACCUGAAGUGCGUAACCGCGAGGAGCGCCCUAGGGUAAAACUGGUGACUGGGG